GUUUCCUCAGCGGCUGGAGCUGCGGCCGCCUCUGCUGACAGCGCGCCAAGAUACGCCUCCUUUGACAGCGCACUCAGACUUGUCCCCUCUCGUCCUGAGCGCAGCACGCCUGCGCAGCAACAAGCCUGUAGUCAAUCAACAAUCGACACAUCUGAACUUGAUGAAAGGGAGCGGCAUAAAGACCAGCAGACCCAAGGAACCUUUGCCAGAACGUCGCUAACCUUCCCUGACUCCCCUGCCUUCCGUGAUCAAGCCUUGUCCUUCGACAUCAAACCGGAUUCCUGACUGCUCUCCUCGAUCCACGACCUCCCUGCUUGGACCCAGACUACACUGCCUCGCUCCUCCCCACGACCCAUUGCCUGUCCACGAACUGCCUCUUCGUCUUGCCCCUCGUGAUUCGACGAAAGAUUACAACCAACACUCACAGACAACAACCCUUGGUAACAUUUACAUUAUUAUUACACAUAGUCACACUCAUUCACUUAGAGUAGCAUACACAUGUCACAUAUUUAUCAAAGGUUUAAAAUAAACCUUGAAAGAACCGCA